UACGUAGGGUGCAAGCGUUGUCCGGAAUUAUUGGGCGUAAAGAGCUCGUAGGCGGUUUGUUGCGUCGGCUGUGAAAUCCCGAGGCUCAACCUCGGGUCUGCAGUCGAUACGAGCAAACUAGAGUGUUGCAGGGGAGACUGGAAUUCCUGGUGUAGCGGUGAAAUGCGCAGAUAUCAGGAGGAACACCGGUGGCGAAGGCGGUUCUCUGGGCAUUACCUGACGCUGAGGAGCGAAAGUGUGGGGACGCGA
rnacentral:rRNA from 1 species